GCAAUUCUGGAGCAUAGUCAAGGACGAUGUCACCAGAACAGACAAGAUCUUCCCUGGCAACAGCGACAACAAUGUCCACAAGAAGAACCUGUUCGAGCCUCCGUUCUACGCCCGAUUCGUCCGCAUCCUGCCGUGGGCUUGGCACGGGCGCAUCACCUUGCGAAUGGAGCUGCUGGGCUGUGACGAGUAGCCCCGCCCAAGUCUCCUCUUCCCCCCCCCUUCCUUUCUUUCCAAAACCUCCUGAGCCACACCUGCACUGCCUUGCUCAGAUCUGUAGAGGGCAGCAAAACACCACGCCACCACCACAACCCUGCCCCGACUGAGGAAGUACAAAACCACCUAAUGGUUACUGCUAGACUUGGGUAGGGGUAAUCUGAUCCUAGAUCUGUGCUUAAGGGCAACUUGUACCUCGAGCACACAGACUACCGCUGUGUCAGCCGGAACUGCAUGGACUCUGAAACUGUCCUUCCUAGAUCAAGGCCUCUGUUGUGUUCAGAGUUUCAGAGUGGGAGUGUUGAUCUUAUUCUUUAUUAUGAUUUUUUUUUUUUUUUUAAUUUUCACGAAAGGCAAAACUGAUCCUAGAUCAGCACUGCUACUGUAUACGGGCUGAACCUGAAACCCAGUGAUGAUGUACAAUAGUAGCUCAUUUAGCUGAGAUGUUUUCACCUGACCAUCCUGAAGUGCGUAAUAUUGUUAUUGAACACACUCGUGUGUAUUGUUAGCUUCCAAGCUGUGACUCUGCAGUGCUUUGGUAGAUGUUUUGAACAACUUUGUUUGUUUGCUUAAUGAAGACUCCUCGUGUGACCAUGGACUUUAUACGAAUUUCGUUCUUUUUUUUUAUUUUUAAGAAAUGUAUACCAAAUGUAUUUUGCUUUGUUUCUAUGUGUAUGGUCUUAGUUAACUAGUUAUAAAUGCAUUAUGAUUCAUUAUUAUUUGCAUUUUUACAAAAUUAAUGUUUUCAUUUAAGUGUACUGAACAGAAAUAUAAACGCAACAUGCAACGAUUUUAAUGAGGAAAUCUAUCAAUUGCCCUAACCCUAUGGAUUUCAUAUGAUUGGCAGUACAGAUAUGGUAUCUGUUGGUCAGAUUCCUUAAACAAACAAUGGGCCUCCUAAUGGGCCUCAGGAUUUCGUCACGGUAUUUUUUUUGUGCAUUCAAAUUGGCAUCGAUAAAAUGCAAUUGUGUUCAUUGUCGGUAGCUUAUGCCUGCCCAUACUAUAACCCCACCUCCACCAUGUGGCACUCUGUUUGCAAACCGCUCACCCACACGACGCCAUACUCACAACGUUGACAUCAGCAAACCGCUCACCCACACGACGCCAUACUCACAACGUUGACAUCUGCAAACCGCUCGCCCACACGACGCCAUACUCACAACGUUGACAUCAGCAAACCACUCGCCCACACGACGCCAUACUCACAACGUUGACAUCAGCAAACCGCUCACCCACACGACGCCAUGCUCACAACGUUGACAACAGCAAACCACUCGCCCACACGAAGCCAUACACAUGGUCCAGUUGUGAGGCCGGUUGGAUGUACUGGCAAACUCUAUAAAACGAUGUUGGAGGUGGCUUAUGGUAGAUAAAUUAACAUUUUAAAUGAUCUGGCAACACCUCUGGUGGGCAUUCAGCUUGCCAAUUGCACGCUCCCUCAGAACUUGAGACAUCUGUGGCGUUGUGUGACACAACUGCAUAUUUUAGUGGCCUUUUAAUGUCCCCAGCACCAGGUCCACGGAUCAUGCUGUUUAAUCAGCUUCUUGAUAUGACACACCUGUUAGGUGGAUGGAGUAUCAUUAAUGGGGAUGUGAAGACAUUUGUGCUCAAUUUUAAAGAAAUCAGCUUUUUAAGCAUAUGGAUAAUUUUUGGGAUCUGUUAUUUCAGUUCAUGAUACAUGGGAACAAUACUUUACAUGUUGCCUUUUAUAUUUUUGUUCAGCGUAGUAGCAGACUUAACAUUUAGAAAGCAUAGAGACUCUUAUUCUGUAAUCUUGUGACAUUCCAAAAUCCCAAAGUAGUUGAAUUCUAUUUUAGUUGAUUGUUUUUUGCCAAAGAGAAACUAAAAGUGCAGAAAUACUACCUUACAGUAUGUGGUGUUAUAACAUGUGUUAUAACUAAAGUACCUGGUGUAUUAUAACUCUAUGUACUCUGUCCUAUAAGAAUGGUUUUAUCACAGCUCGAUGUAAUGCAUUUAUUAUUAAUUGACAAAUAUUAUAAAGUAGAAAAUAUCGAGUUAGCACGUUGACGAUGCUGCCAAAAUGUCUUUCUCAGGUCUCGGCAGAUCCAUUCUAGCCUGAUCCCAGAUCUGUUUGUGCUGUCUUGCUAAACACAAACAUAAGAGUUGUCAAGACAUCACAACUGAUCUGGGACAAGGUAGAUCUAUUCAUUUUGUAUGUGCUACUGAUGUUGUUAUAACACUCCAUGAUACUACACAGCUCAACUCAAUAUCACUCAGCCAUGUUUUCAUUUAAAAAAACAUUUUUUUCUGUAUUAUAUAUUUUUUUAAGGCACUUUCAGAGUCAGUUUGAUUAUUCUUUGCUGAGGUAAAUAUGUUAAAUUGUGAAUCCCAAAGUGUUCUACAUUGAGGAAAUACAGUAUACAUAUUGACCAUACAUGUAGAUUGAGUGUUGGAAAACAAAGAUGUGUAAUACUAGGCGUCUGUCGUUUCACUGCAUAGGAGAAUGGUAUAUAUGGCUUCCAUACGUUAUCAGGAGGCAAUUUUAGAUUUCUCUGUAGAUUUCUGACUGGCAAUAGCAGCCAAAACCACAUUUCCAUCAGUUUUAUUUCUGACCUGGUUAUCCUACAUAGUGUAAAUACUUGUUGUUUAUAAAUUGUUCCUUGAAGAUGGAAUGUUUUGCAGCAGACAAUUCAAAUGCCAUCCAUUUCUCACAAGAGGGCCAAAAUUAUGCGUAGAAUUCGAAGGCUGUGUCCACACUGAUAAGAUAGAAAAUGAAAAAAUGUAAUUAAAAAAAGAUUUAUACGGUUGCACUGAACGCAUCACAUGACCGGCUAUCUCCAUAUUGCUCCUAGGUCAUAGCUAACAUUGUAAAGAUCCCUCUUGAAUUAUGGGCUCGUGCAAUAAGUUAUUAGUUUUGAUAUGAAUGAAUCUGAAUCAAACAUGAACAGCUGGACACAUGUGGGCGAUAGAUGUACACGCAGACGACGCAGUUAAGGCUAUGGAUGGAUGCUAGUGUCAAACACUGUCCAAAUAUUUAUGAUCUUUUGCAGACUUUUUCAAAACAGUCUGAUGUCUGCAUGCAUUGUAUUGUCUAUGAUUUCUCAGUUCCAACAGAGAAGUUUUGAUUUAUAUUGUUUUUUUUCUGUACACUUAAAAAAAAAACAUUGUUCACCAGACUAGUUAUUUCUGGUUCUUUCAUUCCACAAUGUCCUGGUUUUAUGAGUCAUGAAAAAAUAUACAAUUGAUGUGUUUUUAUGCGAUAUUAUUAGUUACACAUUUUUACAUCUUACAGUAUUCUGACUGGAUCUGAUUCAUUUUGUUCAUGUUUCUGUUAAGAGAAUUCCCCUAUGUUUGGCCUUUUGCAACUCUCAAGACAGAUAAUAAAGGACUUAAAUGCAGAUAGCUUGUAUAUCGUACAGUAAAUAAACUGGUUUAAAUGUCA